rnacentral:misc_RNA from 1 species
AGAACCUGCUAUUCUGUCAGUUGAGGGUAGGGGAUUUAAUGUGGAGAUAUUCUAUGUUGAUGAUCCUGUUUCUGAUUACGUUCAGUCUGCUGUUUCAACAGUGAUGUCGAUCCAUGACCAGGAGCGGAUGGGAGAUAUCCUGGUGUUUCUCACUGGUCAAGAUGAUAUUGAUACUGCAAUACAAUUGCUCACUGAAGAAGCCCAAAGUAGUGGCAAGCAAGGACUGGUUUCUGUGCCACUAUACUCGGGACUUCCUCGAGCAGAUCAGGACCUUGUGUUUUCCCCUACUCCCAGAGGAAAGAGAAAAGUGAUAUUUUCCACAAAUAUUGCUGAGACGUCAUUGACUCUAGAAGGUAUUGUCUAUGUUGUUGAUAGCGGGUUCUCAAAACAACGUUUCUACAAUCCGAUUUCAGAUAUUGAGAACUUGGUAGUGGCACCA